UACGGGGGGAGCAAGCGUUGUCCGGAAUCAUUGGGCGUAAAGCGCGUGUAGGCGGUUCGAUAAGUCUGCUGUGAAAGUCCAGGGCUCAACCCUGGAAAGCCGGUGGAUACUGUCGGACUAGAGUGCGGAAGAGGCGAGUGGAAUUCCCGGUGUAGCGGUGAAAUGCGCAGAUAUCGGGAGGAACACCAAUUGCGAAGGCAGCUCGCUGGGACGUUACUGACGCUGAGACGCGAAAGCGUGGGAGCAAACAGG
rnacentral:rRNA from 1 species